UGGGAGUGAGGCUGUGCUCCCGAGCCAACCAAUGGCAAGGCGUAUUGCUGGAACGUGCGCCGAGCGUGAGGGCGGCGGACUUCAGCGCGGCCCAGGUGAGGAAGGGCCACCUGUGAGCCGGGGGACAUCCUCCCGGCGUCGUUGGGGCCGGAGGAAUCCUGAAGCCAUGGACCACCUAUGUAUGGUUUGAGAGACACUUUGCGUUUUAUUCUGGAAACCCUGCAACUACCCUAAAAAUUGAUGUAUUCUAGAACGGACCUAUGGUGAAGCGACUUCCAGUCAUUUGGAAAGGAUGGGAUGAAAAGGAACCUUGGUGAUAAUUUUGAUGUCUGCAAGAUUUAGUACCAGUGUAAUGGGAUUAGCGGUAACACCUUCACUGCAGAAGAAGCCACCUGGCGUUGUAACUGGCAGCAACUGAGAACUAACCCUUUCCCAUCUCUUGGAUGUCAUUCACGAAGCUCAAAGCGAUUUCUGCCCUGCUGACUGCGAUUAAUUUUAUAAACAACAACAACAACAAAAACCAGGCCAAAUGGUGGCAGAGCCUACAUAGAACUAUGCUUCGUGGUGUUCUGGGAAAAACCCUUCGACUUGUUGGCUAUACCAUUCAGUAUGGCUGUAUAGCUCACUGUGCUUUUGAAUAUGUUGGUGGUGUUGUCAUGUGUUCUGGACCAUCAAUGGAGCCUACAAUUCAAAAUUCAGAUAUUGUCUUUGCAGAAAAUCUUAGUCGGCAUUUUUAUGGUAUCCAAAGAGGUGACAUCGUGAUUGCAAAAAGCCCGAGUGACCCAAAAUCAAACAUUUGCAAAAGAGUCAUUGGUUUGGAAGGAGACAAAAUCUACACCACUAGCUCGUCAAAUUUCUUUAAAAGCCAUAAUUAUGUGCCAACAGGUCAUGUUUGGUUAGAAGGUGAUAAUCUACAGAAUUCUACAGACUCCAGGUUCUACGGACCUAUUCCAUAUGGACUUAUCAGAGGACGAAUUUUCUUUAAGGGUAUAAUUAAAGUGAUCCACUCUUCCUGAAUAGACCUCAUCCUUCAGCUACAUUCACAACUCAGAGCGGUAACUAUUCCAUUCAUCAGUCCAGUCUGACACCACCAGGAGUUCAAUCUAGUAAACAGCUGUGAAGGAAAAAGAAAAAUAGCUCUGCCAGUCUCACUGGUAAGAACCAUGAGGGCAUGAUGCUUUUGCCUGGAGUCUGCUCUUCUGAAGAGAAUCCUGCUAACUCGGCUGUUCAUCAGAUUCAACACCCAAAUACACCUGUUCUGGUAUCCACUAUUUCAAAACUCCUGACUCAAAUAUAUAAACACAGUACCACAGUUGUGUUGUUUUUCCCUGUGGCACGUGCGCGUGUGUGUCUUUUUGGUGUUUACAAAUGAUAAAUGAACCAACGGGAGAAUCACUGCAGUGAGAUGCCCCAAGGAGGCAACACGGUGCUGUAUUUGGCCUCCUAAUGGUAGAAAUGUCGCCUGUCCUCUUCCUGGGAGGUUGAAAUGCUUGUGUUCUCUGACAGAAAGAAUCUCUGAUGCACUGGUCAUUCCAUUUUACUGGCUGAGAAGUGACUAAAGAAAAAGAACUUACUAAUCACAUGAUCUAUUUACCACUAUCAUAAUUUUUUCUUAUAGAUAAAUAAAUUCUCAAAGUAUUCAUGGUUUCCCACAAUCAAAUUAUCCUCAUUCAGUUCUCAGACUUGAUUAACAUUGGCUCUCACAUGUGGUGUAAAAAACAAACAAAGCAAAACUCAACUGCCUUUUACUUGCUCAUUAUUAUGUUCAGCCUUGGAAAAAAUCAGCAGUUCUUUUAUCCGUAAGGAAAACAUGAAUUCAUUCACCAUAUCCUGAUUUUUAUCCUUCAACACAAAGCCUGCUUUCUCCAUAAAAAAAAGUAAUUAAAUCUUGAAUUGCAAAAUACAAAUGGUUACCUUACCUCUGUAAACUAACACACAUAUGUAACUAUGGUGGAACGAUCUAAAGUUGUACACACUCUAACCAUUGAUUUCUUUGGCUAAAUCUCCCCUCGUUCACAUCAGUGAACACCAAGGGUCUGUCUGAGGUGUCGUGUGCUUGGUAGAUGGCACACAGGACACCAGGGGCUACUGUGGAGUUUUGUCAGAGAUGACUGCCAAAGGUAAUGCUCAUCAAGUUUGCCUCUUGAUCAAUUCCCCAUUAUAUUAUUCUACCACUAAGUUCCUAACCAUGUGCUGUUUUUCCAGAAAUCAUCAUUUUAAACACACUGAAUGGAGAGCAAAAAAUUGGCCAGGCCCCAGUACAGACGAGCUGUAAGAAGAAAGGCUAGCUGUCAACAGUGCAGGCAGACUUUGUCAGCCUAAUGAAAUGCACAGUCUCACAUUCUCCCUUGGUCAAGCAGCUGCCAGUCUGGCUAUGUCUACCAUGUAGGGUUUCAUCUACUUUUCUCCUGUUCUGGAUCUUUACAAGGCUAUUCAGGAAUGACCCUAAAAGAAUGAUUUUUUAUUAUUAUUAUUAAUUAGCUGUAGGGCACGUGUGGUCACCAGAGAGAGAGA